UUCACUAUGAACCACUUGAUUAAUAUUCAUAAUUUAUAAGCUCAACAGGUCUGAAGAUUUUAUCUAAUGACCUUUUAAGCCACGAAAGUUAAGAUGUAUAGAAAUCUAAUGUUAACGUUAUUCAGUUUCUUUGGUAGUAUUACCCGAAGUAACGUCACUGGAUCUCACCAUGCAGUUCUCACAUCAUGCUUGCUAGUAUUACCCGAAGUAGCGCCACUGGAUCUUAACAUGCGGCUCUCACAUCAUGCUUGCUAGUAUUACCCGAAGUAGCGCCACUGGAUCUUAACAUGCGGCUCUCACAUCAUGCUUGCUAGAAACCAUGGCUGUUCAUUCAUUCCCAUUGGAUAUUAAUCCUUCGGACUGGUUAUAGAGGUUCCAAAUAAGAGAAUAUGCCGGAUAGGAAGAUGGUUUGGACGCAUUUUCACACCAGGUUCCAACAAAGUGAAUAUGGCACAUAGCAUGAUGGUUUGGGCGAUAUAUUAUCAGGCCAGGUUUCAGACAGUGGACUUUGUCAAAAGGGACGGAGAUGGCAUAACUUUGUUGCAGAAAUAUUGCUUUGUGUGAAAUAUUUAUGUAGGCUUAACGGACUGAUAUUAAUUUUUUAAAAAUAAAA